AUACGUAGGGAGCGAGCGUUGUCCGGAAUUACUGGGCGUAAAGGGCGCGUAGGCGGCGCUUCAAGUCGUCUGUCAAAUGGGAGGGCUUAACCCUUUUUCGCAGACGAAACUGGAGAGCUUGAGAAGCAGAGAGGCAAACAGAAUUCCUGGUGUAGCGGUGAAAUGCGUAGAUAUCAGGAAGAAUACCAGUGGCGAAGGCGGUUUGCUGGCUGCAUACUGACGCUGAAGCGCGAAAGCCAGGGGAGCAAACGGGAUUAGAUACCCCGGUAGUCCUGGCAGUAAACGAUGUAUGCUGGGUGUGAGACUAGCGAUAGUUUUGUGCCGAAGUUAACGCGAUAAGCAUACCGCCUGGGGAGUACGGUCGCAAGAUUGAAACUCAAAGGAAUUGACGGGG
rnacentral:rRNA from 1 species